UUCCAGAGAGGAAAUUGGUUUUUUACAAGAGGGGAUAAAAAAAGAGAGCAACUCGUUGCUCUCGAUUUUUUGAACUUCCAUCCUGGACCUCAG
rnacentral:rRNA from 1 species